rnacentral:lncRNA from 1 species
CCAUUAAGGCAUACACUAGUGGGAGCUUCUCGGUGCCUGCGUGAAGACGCCCUCUUGCCUCCGGGAAAAGUAUCGUCUGCAUCUUCUUGCUCCAGGAGCGGGGGUGGGGAGCGCAGCGCGGAGGAGGCAGCGCUGAGAUGACUCAACAGUGCGGCAUUUGGGGGCGCCGCGGAGGCUGGGACUGCGUAAGCGGCGAUAGGGUAGGACCCACAGCCUCCUCGCAGGCAUUCUUGGAGCUCGGUUCCGCGGUCGGUCCGGAUCUCCCGGGAAGUCUCGCCGGAGUCAGGCAGGCCUUAGGAAGAAGCUGCCUGAUGUGCAAGGUUUCAUAGGCCGUCAGAGGGGGCAUCCUGGAGGAGCCCUGGCAUCAGGAAAGUGAGCCCCCCAUGGCAGCCCGCAGGAAUGAACCAGUGCUCAGGGAUCACUUACAGGUGCCCUCUCCCCCAACAGCCAGAAAGGGAAAACAGAGCCGAGUUUGGCCACUGGGGCCUCCACAGCCCUCUGGAAGAAGGGGCUGACUGAUAGGAAGGCACUCCUCUGGUGUUCACUGGCCAGACCCCUGUGGGCUCAGAAGACUACCUAGACCCCAUGAAGAAAGACUCUAGACACAUUUUUAUAAUCAGAAACUUACAGUUUAUUGUGAAUAAACCACUCAACUUUGAGCAGAUGACAUUGCCUCAAUUAACUUUUUCGUUGAAGAAAAACAAAGAUAUAUGGUAAAUUCAUGAAAAUACUGUGUCCUUUCUCUUCCACCCUUUGUAGGGCAGAAAAAUUCUGCCUGACCUUUCCCAUCUUCCUGAUGAUGUUAACAAACGACAGCCACUGAGGGCACAGGAGGGGGCUCUACACAGGCCAAGAGCUACAGGCUACAGUCUGAGCACAGAAAACCCUCCAGCUCCAGCAUCCAGGGCCACAGCUGGACACAAGUACAGAACCUGGCAGCCCUGCAGCCCAGACAAUGCCCAGGGUGUGAUUUAGGGUGCAGAGCUGCAACUCAGAUCCUGUGCCAUGGCAGUAUCACAGGAAGGACUUGACGGAGAGGUGAAGGCUCCAGACGCCAGGAUAUUUAUUCCCUGUGCCAAUACAGCAUUCACACC